GGUGCCUCCAGAUAAUGGAGAGGUUUUGCAUUGAAGGGCAUGGACAUCGAUUUGCUCACUGGACAGAAGAAUCCUCCCAUCUUCUUGAAGGAAUCCUGGAACCGGUCUUCAGGGUUCCAAAGUCCACCAUUGCAGAGACUUCCCCCAGAAAUGGUGAUGGUGGAGAGGGCAAUGCGAAGGGACAGACGCAGAUCCUGAGGGACUUGCAUAAAACAUGGGACUGGAUACAACAGCACAGCCUUAUUCCGUGGGGAAAUAGAAGAACCUGAAGUCUUACAGAUGAGCAAGCCCUGGCAGAAAAUGGCCCUUGAAGGAU